rnacentral:lncRNA from 1 species
GGAGUGAUGGGGGCUGGGCUGGGGGAGCCUCUCAUUAACAUUCUUACAUCAGGGCUCCUCCCCGCACCCCUACCUUCCCACCCUUCCCGGGUCCCUAACCCCAACAGCUCCCAGCUACCCCUCGGCCUUGGCCUUAAAGCCGCAGUCGCCCUCGUCCGCACCGGCGGGAGCCCCCACCACACCGCACCACCCCUGGGGUCCGCCGCCUUACCCUGGCCGCGCACGCGGCAGCGCUUUCCCCAGCUCCAGGCUUUACACAGGGAAAUGUGUUUGAUAGUAAAGAAGUGCGCACAGGCACACACAAACCAUGCAAAAAAUAACUGGAUUAGAGGAAGGGGGUGGUCCUAGAAAUUUGUAGUUUCGUUGCAGAACUCCGUAGGUCCCGCUCGCUCUCACCUCUUUCUCACUCCGGCCAAAUUCCCUCCUGACGCGCCAACUCGGGGCGGGCACCGACCUUCCUGGUCCCUUGGCGCAAGGUCAGGGAACAGGGACCAAGGUCCCAGGGCAGACGGCUCGAUCGAGGACCCAGAACUCCCAGCUAGCCGAGGCGUUACUUACACCCCUCCCUACCCCGCUUUCCCCUGCUACGCGCCCGCGUCCUCCCCCUGGGCCACGCGGGUUCGCGCGGGAGUCGUAGCGUUUCCAGGAUUCCAGUGUCCCCGCGCAAAGCCCCUCAGCCGGCGCGCUGCAAGCAGAAAAGCGAAACUUGUUGCUCCCAAAGGCGAGCGAAGAGUUCCGCUUCUCGAAGUGGCGAAUAGUUUGAAGAGCAUCUCCGAAGCGUCCUCAGGGUUUUGUUUGCCAAACCAGCGCGCGACACCCUGUGCUCCGGGUUCUGCACUGCCGAGAGAGGUCCUGUGUCGGAGACCUAGGCUUGCCACUGGUCACAGCCACAACGGCAGUGGGGACAAGGAUGGAAACGGCGGUGAAGUCCGCGGCCAGAGGAGCCUCGCGGAAGUCCGCCGCGCUUCAGGGCAGGUCCAAAUGGAACUUGACCCGCUGAAAGUGACAACACGCCGAGGUCAUUUGCAGUGUGAACGUGCUACAUUGGACUGGGGAAUUCUGAUACUUAAAGGCCACAAAUUAAAAUAAGAUGUCCUGAGACAAAGUGACGUUAGAAAGACUUCUGAAAAACAUACAACUGGUCUGAUUUAACCUGAGUACUGACAUGUUUCCUAGGAUUUGCAAGCCACAUGAAGAAUUCUCCUAUUAUUGAUUUAGAGGUAAGUUAUUUAAUGUAGAGUAUCUCAUUCA